CCUCUAACUGGAGAAUAGCCCGAAGAAAUUCGGAUUAAUACUCCAUAAAGUCAAUUUAAGGCAUCUUUUAUUGAUUAAAGCUCCGGCGGUUAGAGAUGGGCAUGCGUGUCAUUAGCUAGUUGGUGAGGUAACGGCUCACCAAGGCCACGAUGACUAGGGGGUCUGAGAGGAUGAUCCCCCACACUGGUACUGAGACACGGACCAGACUCCUACGGGAGGCAGCAGUGAGAAAUAUUGGGCAAUGGACGCAAGUCUGACCCAGCCAUGCCGCGUGCAGGAUGACUGCCCUAUGGGUUGUAAACUGCUUUUGUUUGGGAAGAAACCCCCGAUCGUGAUCGGGGCUGACGGUACCAUACGAAUAAGCAUCGGCUAACUCCGUGCCAGCAGCCGCGGUAAUACGGAGGAUGCAAGCGUUAUCCGGAUUCAUUGGGUUUAAAGGGUGCGCAGGCGGAAUAUUAAGUCAGUGGUGAAAUCCUGCAGCUUAACUGUAGAACUGCCAUUGAUACUGAUAUUCUUGAAUAUAGUUGAGGUGGGCGGAAUGUGUAAUGUAGCGGUGAAAUGCUUAGAUAUUACACAGAACACCAAUUGCGAAGGCAGCUCACUAAACUAAUAUUGACGCUGAGGCACGAAAGCGUGGGUAGCAAACAGGAUUAGAUACCCUGGUAGUCCACGCUGUAAACUAUGAUCACUCGCUGUUGGCAAUACAUCGUCAGCGGCUGAGCGAAAGCAUUAAGUGAUCCACCUGGGGAGUACGGUCGCAAGAUUGAAACUCAAAGGAAUUGACGGGGGCCCGCACAAGCGGAGGAACAUGUGGUUUAAUUCGAUGAUACGCGAGGAACCUUACCUGGGCUUAAAUGCAGAGCGACGUCCGCCGAAAGGUGGAUUCCUUCGGGCGAUCUGCAAGGUGCUGCAUGGUUGUCGUCAGCUCGUGCCGUGAGGUGUCGGGUUAAGUCCCAUAACGAGCGCAACCCUUAUCGUUAGUUGCCAGCGGGUAAUGCCGGGGACUCUAACGAAACUGCCGGUGUAAACCGUGAGGAAGGUGGGGAUGACGUCAAAUCAGCACGGCCCUUAUGUCCAGGGCUACACACGUGUUACAAUGGUCGGUACAGAGGGCAGCUACCACGCAAGUGGAUGCUAAUCUCGAAAACCGGUCUCAGUUCGGAUUGAAGUCUGCAACUCGACUUCAUGAAGCUGGAUUCGCUAGUAAUCGCGCAUCAGCCAUGGCGCGGUGAANCGUUCCCGGGCAUUGUACACACCGCCCGUCAAGCCAUGGAAGCUUGGGGUACCUGAAGUCCGUAACCGCAAGGAG
rnacentral:rRNA from 1 species